rnacentral:rRNA from 1 species
AUUGAACGCUGGCGGCAUGCUUUACACAUGCAAGUCGGACGGCAGCGGGGGUGCUUGCACCUGCCGGCGAGUGGCGAACGGGUGAGUAACAUAUUGGAAUGUACCGAGUAGUGGGGGAUAACCAAUCGAAAGAUUGGCUAAUACCGCAUACGUCCUGAGGGGGAAAGCAGGGGAUCUUCGGACCUUGCGCUAUUUGAGCAGCCAAUAUCUGAUUAGCUAGUUGGUGGGGUAAAGGCCCACCAAGGCGACGAUCAGUAGCGGGUCUGAGAGGAUGAUCCGCCACACUGGGACUGAGACACGGCCCAGACUCCUACGGGAGGCAGCAGUGGGGAAUUUUGGACAAUGGGGGCAACCCUGAUCCAGCCAUGCCGCGUGUCUGAAGAAGGCCUUCGGGUUGUAAAGGACUUUUGUUAGGGAAGAAAAGGGAAGUGCUAAUACCACUUUUUGCUGACGGUACCUAAAGAAUAAGCACCGGCUAACUACGUGCCAGCCGCCGCGGUAAUACGUAGGGUGCGAGCGUUAAUCGUAAUUACUGGUGCGUAAAGCGAGCGCAGACGGUUACUUAAGCAGGAUGUGAAAUCCCCGGGCUCACCCUGGGAAACUGCGUUCUGAACUGGGUAGUAGAGUAUGUCAGAGGGGGGGUAGAAUUCCACUGUAUUAGUUAAAUGCGUAGUGAUGUGGAGGAUUACGCUUGGCGAAAGCAGCCUCCUGUGUUAUCCUGCGCAUUUAUUCCCCACACGUAGGCCGCCAACAAGAUCAUGUCCACUACUUUCGAAGGACGAUUCUCCCAGUGGACUCCACCUGUCUCGCUGCCCUCUACUACGUUGUGCGUGCGUCUAUAAUUAUUUUUUUGUCUUUUAGGCAGAU